CCUACGGGUGGCUGCAGUCGAGGAUCUUCGGCAAUGGGCGCAAGCCUGACCGAGCGACGCCGCGUGCGCGACGAAGGCCUUCGGGUUGUAAAGCGCUGUCGAGGGGGAGGAAAGCCGCAAGGCCUGACCGACCCCUGGAGGAAGCACGGGCUAAGUUCGUGCCAGCAGCCGCGGUAAGACGAACCGUGCGAACGUUGUUCGGAAUCACUGGGCUUAAAGGGCGCGUAGGCGGGCGGCCCCGUCGGGGGUGAAAUCCUUCCGCCCAACGGAGGGAUGGCCUCCGAGACCGGCCGCCUCGAGGGGGGUAGGGGCACGCGGAACUUCCGGUGGAGCGGUGAAAUGCGUAGAGAUCGGAAGGAACGCCGGUGGCGAAAGCGGCGUGCUGGGCCCCUUCUGACGCUGAGGCGCGAAAGCCAGGGGAGCGAACGGGAUUAGAUACC
rnacentral:rRNA from 1 species